GAGGCUUCUGUGGUGCACUGAUGUGUAACUGGUGAUUAGUCCGUCGGGUGGUGGUUGAGGAGCUAGAAGGCGCGGGAUUUGGGGCCGUUUCCCGCAGAGAGCAGCCGGCGAUGAUGAAAACAUCACUUGGGAAAUGUGUUUACAGAUCGCUUUCCAAAGGUUGAAUUAAAACCAUAUUUUGAAAAAUCUGAAAAUAGAAAAGUAAAUGCGUUACAGCAAGCAAGACGUGAGCUCGGGAAGCGCUGCUAGCUGACCCAAGAAGUUUAGGAAUGGACUGCUUCAUAUUCCUCACUGGCUGUGAUCUGACGCUCGUUGAGGUGUCCAACGUGGGAGGAGGCGUGGAGGCCCGGCACACCUGUGGGCAGAGAAGGUGAAGAGGGCUGGUGAGUACCCCGCUCCCAGGCAGCAAUCCUGGCCCAAGCCCUGAGGUUGCGGGGUUGGCCUUUGAGGCCCCAUUACUACCUCCCCCAUUUAUUUAUUUAUCAUUUUAUUUAUCCGUCCAUUUGUGGGACAGCCCAGAGUAAUGGGUAAGAGCCAGGCUGCCUGGGUUUGAAUCCCGCACUGUCACUUAUCAGUGGCAUGGCCUUGGAGAAAUUGAUCUCUGUGCCUCAGUUUCCUCGUCCGUAAAAUGGAGAUAAUAGUACCUAUCUCCUAGGUAUGUUAUGAAGUUUAAAUCAGCUAGUCUAUGCAAAACCCUUAUAAUUGAGCCUGACAUAUGGCAGGCAUAAUAUGAAUAUUCAUUACUAUCACCAUAGUUACUAUAAUUUAGAUAUUCCACUAGGGCUUUUUGGGGAGGAAUUCUCAUCUCACAUUUCCAUUCUUCUCUAUGGGGUCCUCCUGAACCCACAGAAUUUUCUGUGACGGAGGCACAGCUGUGUCUGCCCAUCUUCCCGCCCCCAACUCCCACCUUCCCUGAGGGUCAGGACACUUUCUGAGAUAGAGUGGCCAGGGCUAGUCUUGGGAAUGAAUAAACCUAAGUUCCCAUCCCUGCUUUGCCCCUACCUGGCUGUGUGGACCUUCAGCAAAUCACUUAACCUCUCUGAGCCUCUUUUGUGAGCUGGCUUUUUGGUGAUAAUGAGGACCCAAAGAGAUAACGGACGUGAAGCCCUUAGCAGGUGCCUUCCCUGGCCGGGCCCCAGGAGUGUCUAGAAGCUCACCAGGAUUGAAGAGGAUGGUCUCUUUCAGGUAGGCAUAUUCCUUGGGGCCCAGCUGCAGGCUCCAGAAGGACUCCAGGCAGCACUGAAGCCACUGUACCGCAGCCAGCGAGGGCUGGGGUCGAUCUGGCAGCUGGCCGCUGCCUGAGCUGCUGCUGGGCUCCUCCAGCAAGAUCUUCUUGAGUAUGCUGGGAACUGGUGCCUCGGCCACCUCGAAAGUCACAGUGUCUUGGGCCAACCCCAGCAGGAAGAGGGGGCCCCAGCAGCCCCGCAGCAGCCGCUGCUGAUCCUGGGGGGGCAGCUGGCAGAAGGACGGCAGGUUCCUGAGGAAGACCACUGUUCUGGCCAGAACAUCCAAGGCUUCCCGGCAGGUGCGAUGGGGAGCACACAGCCGGACAGGCCGGUGCUGCCUGCACAGGCAAUGACUACGGGCUGGGGGCACAGAGGGCCUGGCCCUGAGGCUAGGGCUCAGAAGUGCGUACAGAAUGGCCGGGCGGCCUGCAGCACCCCGACACGAGCAGGUCCCUGGCUGGCUCGAACUCAUGGUUGGGGAUCUGCUCCUCCUUCCUCCCAGCUCUCCCGCCCUCUGCUCUGCGCUGUGGGUGCUAUUUAUAACCCCAGUGGGAGGGAGGGGGGAACAGCCUGACAACCUUGACUCCAGAAGUCAUGUUCAUUGAAAAAAAAAGAAACACUGCACUGACCCUGCAGGAUUGGCGGGGCAGUGGUGGGGGAGGGGGCUUUGGGAGCUCCACGUGGCCCUGAUAUCACUUUAGUCAAUGAAGCAGCCUAUGCAGGGUACAGGACUGCCUGCUCGCUGGCCCGACUGCCCCUUAUCGGAUGACUCAAGUGGAUAAACAAGGUCAUUAACCCAGGCUGUACCAGGGCACCAAGGCCUCAGGUGCACCAUCAGCAGGUGGUCAUGGCAGGUUUCCCUAUUGGUGCCUGUAGGACUCUCACUAAGCUGGGAAGCCAACCCCAGAGCUGGACAAGCCUUGAAUGCAAGGCCCAACCUGGAAGUGCCUUAUCACUGACUUGUUUGCCUAACCUUGGGGCUUUGCUCCUGUUGUUGGUAAGGAACAGGCUGCAGGGAAGGGAGCCAGGACCCUGGGGGGCUGGGAGGACUUUGCCCACUGUGCACACUAGGAGGCCUCCCUCCUCCGACUCCAGUUCUGGGGGGGUGGGCCCUGCAGAAAUAAGGUCCUGAAGAACUCUCUCUCCUCAGCCUGGAUUCCUAAAGCUCCCGAAAGGCUGUGUCUGCUGAGAAGCCCUCCCGGAACGAGAUUGAAAUAUGGCUGCUACUUACUGAGCACCUCCUGUGGGCCAAGAACUUUCCAGUCUAAUAUUAGAGCUUGCCUAUGAGGCAAGAUUCUUACUUUUUGAAACUCAAAGAGGUGAAGUGACUUGCCCAAAGUCACACCACCAAGAAGAGACAGAGCCCAGAUCUGUCUGACUCCAAAGUCCUCGCUUGUUCCCCUGGAUCCGCUGGCCCAGUUGUUCAGCCAGAUCUGUGUAGCCUAAGUUUUCCAGAGCUGGUGGCUACCCGGGUCUCCACCUUGCGGCUACCUGGUCCACAGAUAUUGCCGAUUUAUGAACCGGGCAGAAACGCUGCUCUGCCGCCAGCCACGUGGCAACUCUGUCCCGGGCAUCUGUCUCAGGACGGUGGGGCAUGGGGUCGAGGAGAGGGUGGGAAGGUCCUCGGCUGUGUCGUGUUCAUGGACCUUGGCAAGCCCAGCUUGGCAAGCCUUCUGCUAUAGCACACGGUUGGGCAGCCAUCACCAUCCCUGGCACGUGCUCCUGGCUCUGUCAUUUUCCAGUUGUGUGACCUUGGGCUGAUCCCUUAAUCUCUGUGGGCCUCAGGAGCUUCAUCUGGGACAAUAACACAGUGAGGUCCUAGAUGUGAAAUUCUAAGCAGUUUCUGGCAUUCGGUAGGAGGACUUUGCUCCUCCCUUUCCUCUGCCUAAGGAACCAAGCCCCAGCAGACAAACAGGUGCACAUCUUUCAUUAGAUUGUGAAUAAUCUUAAUCCUUACAUUUGUAAAGUUCCUUCCACAACCUUCCACAACUGAAACCUCUUCAGCAUCCCCUCGAAGGAGACUGGAGUCAGACCCCUCAGGUUCAAAUCCUGCCCCAUCACUUAGCAUCAUUGGGCAAGUCACUUUACAUUGCUGUGCCUCAGUUUCCUCAUCUUUAAAAGGUACAAGAAAGGCCAAUAGUGCAUAUUGAGUUUAUGGGCCCUGAAGCUUCUACAAUUUGGAAGGUCCUCUUUAGGAAUAGAAAAUCAGGUAUGAAAGCGAAUAUUUAAAGUGAGAAAACAUGGGGGGGUCUGGCUGACUCAGUCAGUAGGUAGAGCACGUGACUUUUGAUCUUGGGGUUUUAAGUUUGAGCCCCAUGUUGGGUGUAGAGAUUAUUUAAAAAUUAAAAAAAAAUCUUUAUUUUUUAAA